rnacentral:rRNA from 1 species
UAAAAAUUUAAAUUUAAAAUACUAAAAUAGUAUAUAAUUAUUUAUUGAAACUUAAAUAAUUUGGCGGUAUUUUAGUUCAUUUAGAGGAAUCUGUUUAUUAAUUGAUAAUCCACGAAUAAAUUUACUUAAUUUAAAAUUUUGUAUAUCGUUGUUAAAAAAAUAUUUUUAAAUGAAAAUAAUAUUUUAAUUUUAUAAUUAAAAAUUAAAUCAGAUCAAGAUGCAGAUUAUAAUUAAGAAUAUAAUGGAUUACAAUAAAUUUAUUUAAAUGGAUUUUUUUUUUGUAAUAAAAAUUUGAAAGUGGAUUUAAAUGUAAUUUUAUUUAUUUUAAUAAAAUGAUUAUAUAUUAAAAUAUGUACAUAUUGCCCGUCGCUUUCAUAAAUAAAUUGGAAUAAGUCGUAACAAAGUAGAGGUACUGGAAAGUGUUUCUAGAAAUAA